rnacentral:rRNA from 1 species
GGCAGCAGGCGCGCAAAUUACCCACUCCCGGCACGGGGAGGUAGUGUACGAAAAAUAACGAUACGGGACUCAUCCGAGGCCCCGUAAUCGGAAUGAGUACACUUUAAAUCCUUUAACGAGGAUCAAUUGGAGGGCAAGUCUGGUGCCAGCAGCCGCGGUAAAAUUCCAGCUCCAAUAGCGUAUAUUAAAGUUGUUGCGGUUAAAAAGCUCGUAGUUGAAUCUGUGUGCCACGCUGUCGGUUCACCGCUCGCGGUGCAACUGAUUGGCCAGUGGUACGUCCUACCGGUGGAUUUAGCUUGGCGCGCUCGGCGUCCCGCGAAAGCGGCGUUGUCGGCGUGUCCCGGCGGUCCAGCUUCAAUCCCAUGGCGGUUCUCUUCACCGAGUGUCGUUGUGGGCCGGUACGUUUACUUUGAACAAAUUAGAGUGCUCAAAGCAGGCCUUUGUUGCCUGAAUACUUCUUGCAUGGAAUAAUGGAAUAGGACCUCGGUUCUAUUUUGUUGGUUUUACGGAACCCCGAGGUAAUGAUUAAUAGGGACAGAUGGGGGCAUUAGNUAU